UCUCAUGGAUGAACAAAGAAAGUGGUUUCUUGAAGUGGAAUCUACUCCUGGUGAAGAUGCUGUGAA
rnacentral:pre_miRNA from 1 species